GCACACCUGUUUCUGAGUGUUUGCACUUCCUGAUCUUGUGGUCAUGUGACCACCAUUUCCUGCUUCUGAUUUAGCAAGCCAGCCUGUUUGACCCCCAGGAGAUUGUUUGUCAACUUUGGUUAAGAUGGCGCGGGUGUGGUGACGAACAUGUCGAAGGAGGUCUGUUUCUUCUGCUGCAUGUGAAAAAGAACCUGGGAACAGCCGGGUUCCUCUUUUCCAAGAGCGUCUCAUUGCUCACGGAACAAAGAUCUUCUCUGUGCUGGAACUGGUCAGAAGAAACCCAAGCCCACGCUGUAAUGGCCUAAGUGUAACAAACUGCGCCGCUGAAGUCAUUACCAUCAUCAAAAUCGUUGAAUUGUUGGAUGAUAAAAGACCAGUCGAAGUCAUGGCUGGAAACUCUGUUUGAUGGACAGACAAAAGUGCAUCCGGGGGCCCCGACUUUCGUGUCUGUUCAGAAGCUUUCCUCGGUCCUCUUGGAUGAAAAAGCAGCAUCGGCAGCGCGGUCUGGAAUCGCUAUUUUGAAGCAGCGUUUGACCGAGCGAAAUAGAAGGCAAUGGACUUCCAGGGAAACGGGGACAUUAUGCCUAAAGCAUCCAUAGGAAGAAGACACUAAGACCGUCUGCCUGCAAGAUACGAUGCCAUUUUAUUUUGGCAAGUUCGCAUGUUCAUAAACCAGACUGGAAAGUGGCAGAGAAUGAGGGAUGAGGAUACUUCCUUCAAGAGAGAGAGGUUUUCUCAUCACCUUGGAGUUUGGCAGGAGAGCGAGAAGUUAAAAGCCAGUCUGACUCUCAGCCAAUGUGUCGAAGCUCUAUUCUAUUCUUUCGUAUGAACCCUCGCAUCCCAGAUCAAGUGUGUUGAAAGAAAGCAGAUGUUGGGAGCCAGCCGGAUUCCGAGGUUCAACAGGUGGCCAGAGACAUGCCUUUGCGUUAGGGUGUGACACCACAACAUACGGACCCAGAGUAAACAUGUGUGGUGGUUUCCCGAAAACGGGCUCUCUUGCUUUUAAGACUUGAAGCAACCUUGUCCAGAAGCUCUUAACCGUCAGAACAUCCCAUCGUUAACGGGCAAUCGUGCAAUUGAGAGAACACCGCAUGCUUUAUCUACUCAAAAGACGCCAAAUGUCUGAGAGGCAGCUCAGAACAUCUGCCAACCUGACUCUGGCGACGGCGGAGCGGGCGUUUGAAGCUCUUUCUGUUGAAGUCAUUAGCGGCUCGCUCAACGCGAACGCUCCAGCUGGAUCGUACGAGUGGCGCAGGUCUGUCUCGUGGAGGCUCGGAGGGCUGCGAACUGGGCAAAACUUGAAAUACCAGAUAUGGACCCAAAGAACAUUUUUUUGUAUCUUUGUGGACAACAAUGACUUGUUACUGGUGACAACCCCAAAAGUCGGAUUUGCAUCAAGCAAUACCGUACAUCACGCUCUGUCCGAUAUGGCUUGGUUUGGUGAGCAGAUGCAAAACGUGCACUCUUAACCAUUUGACAACUCGUUGACAAAGACGGAUCAUUUCCAAUUCUCCCAAGAAAGUGACAGAACUGUACACAGACUCACAGUUAAUACAUAAAUUAUGGAAGGUGCACUUCCUUCUAUAAACAUCAUCUUGAGUGCUGGCUGAAACCGCAAACCGUUUUCCAUAAUAGAUUGACUUAAGGGAGUCAAAAGCCAAAAUUCCUGCACAGCAGCCAGACAGAGUCCACAGUUACUUGUUACUGUAUGACUUAUUGGACUGAAUGGCAAUGGUGAUAGGAAACAUAUCAGACAAUCAAGUAUUUAAAAUAAAUUCUGUCUGGCCUACCAAUAAGAGCGAGCUGUCUGUCCCUGCCAGACAAAACGAUCUGACUUGGAUUCUGCAUUCACAAUAAUAAGCAUCUGGUGGUAUUUCAUCACAAGUUACACCGCCAAUUGCUGGCCUGGUAUGCAUACUUCAACAUUAUCCAUCAGAUUAGCAGGUUCAUGGCAACAUAAAGUGCAUGUAAAAAAAGAAAAAUUGGUACGGUCUUGUAUCUACUCCAUUCGUAUCAUCUUUAACUGAUCGAAGUUGUGUGCGUUGUUUUCCGAGUCUCAGAGACUCGCGGGGACACGCAUUGCUACGGCACAGAAGACGACUAUAGUUUUUGAUUUAACUUCGCUUCGUAACAAAAGUUGAAA